rnacentral:lncRNA from 1 species
UUCGUUUAAAUUCUGGCGCCACUCCCACGCCACGUAGAGCCAGUCUCGGAAGCGACGGACAGCGGCGCAGCAGCGGGCGUGCGCCCGGAGCUGGACGUGCGCGCCGCGGAGGGGCGGUGCGCGCACCACGCCGUGGAACGAGCCCCGAAAGAAAAGAGCCGCCUGGCGCGCUCUCGCUCCUCCCGUCAGGAACCGGCCACGCCCCCGUGCUCUCCAGGGUCCAAUAGAGGCGAGAGGGAGGGGCGGCCUCCGGCUGGCUCGGGAGAGACUAUAUAAGGAACUGCAGGGGGAGCUGUUCGGUCUUUUACGUCGGAACUUGGGAGCAGAUCAUAGCUGCUAGGUUAAGAAAUUGAUUCUCCCGCAGAAACAAUGGAUUUCGGUGUAGCGGAACUGUUACGUGGAGAUGCUAAGGUAAUUGUUGAGAGCUUAGUUUUAAGUUGAAGGAAUAAACCUGUUGAUUUACAGGUUGAUCAACCUGUAAAGAUGAUGCAUCAUUUGAAAAUUUUUUUUUUUUUUUAAGAUGCAAAGGUACAUUUCAAAACACGCCGGACAAUAUUGGCUGGAAAAUGACUUGGUUAAAACCUGAUGAUCUUACCAGCAUUCUGCAGGUUGAUGAAUACUAAUGAAGCUGUGGAUGUCACUGAGCAGCUUCAUUUUAAAUGAGGGGUUGCUGUCUGCCUGCUGUCUGCCUGGUGUGCUGUGACAUUUUGAAGGUGGAAACAUUUCUGGCUAGUGCUGCGAGAUUUACUUGUCUGUCUUAUGAAAAUCUGGUGAUUGGGAAAACCUCCAAUGGAUGUGGGAAGAAAGUUCAAGAUGAAUUACAUUUUUACAUUGGUUUGUAAAUAGAUUCUGAACCAGCAUCGAGUCUAGAUAAUGCAUCCAUAAGAGUCAAGGCAUUUCUGUUUGACCAUGACACUGCUGUAGAAUCAUAACCUGUUAAUCAGUGUAUUACUUUCUAACUAUUUUGAAUGGAAAAUUCUUUUCUAGUUAUCUAGCCUUGUAAUUAAAUAAUUUUGAAUAGCCUUUGGUUCUUUGUCUGAAUUGAGUUUAAAACUGUGUGAUUGUAAUUACACCAAGUUAAAGUGUGUACUCUUGCGGUGGAAUCUUCAGUCAGGUUUCUAGGGAGAGAUGAUUUGGUUUGGCAAGAAUAAGUAAUGUGCAAAACAUUAGCUUCAGAGUGUUGGGGUGAGAGCAAAGUGGGAAAGAUGGGACCUGUUAACAGUGAGGGAAGGUCACUGAUAAAAUCUGGGUUAAAACUGGUCAAGCAUUGUAUGGAAUGGGUUAGUGUCAAUAAUAGCAUCUAAUCUAACCAAGGUGGUUGGGCCCUGCUGCUCCUGCUAAGUCACUUCAGUCAUGUCCGACUCUGCGACCCCAUGGACAGCAGCCCAUCAGGCUCCUCUGUCCAUGGGAUUCUCUAGGCAAGAACACUGGAGUGGGUUGCCAUUUCCUUCUCCAGUUGGGCCCUAACCCUAAUCAUUUUCCCUAAAUAGCUGCAUGAAUAACCUGUUCGCAUAUUUAAAUGUUAAAGUCAGUGCUAAUAUAUCAUCGGAAUGAACUUUUGAAAUGUUAGCUUGCCUGCUGAAGUGAAGAGAUGGUUUGGGGCUCAUGUACCUCAGAUUCAUGAGACUGAGCCUAUAGUUGAAUGCCCAGACAGACAGGUUUCUUCUGAUAGCAGAUGACCUCCAUGUAUAGCUUUGUGUUAGUGUUAGCCCAUUUAUUAUGUCCAUUUGGAAAUGAGACUUUAGCACUGCAGUCAGCACCCCGAUCUCCCUUACUCUGCUUUAUUUGGAACUUAAGUAUGGUUUAUAAAAUUUGAGCACUGGCACCGCUGUACCUUAAGUAUCUAGACACCUGGCACUUGGUUGUCAAAUAAUGAAUGCUUAAUGACCCAUUGAGGGGGACUUUGCUGAUUGUUCAGUGGUUAAGACUGCUUCCAGUGUAGGGGCUGCUGGUAGGGUUGGUGAACCCACAUGCAGAGUGGCACACCCAAAAACCUAAAACAUUCAGGGAGAACUGUCCUUGUCAAAGUUGGCUAACAUGACUUCAAAACAAGGCAAACUUAUGAAUAAGACUUGGUUUUAGAGCACUUAAGGUUUCCCUUACAGCUAUUGCAAUGCAGGAGACCCUUUCCCUCCCAGUCAAUCUUAAGAUUCAAAUGAUGUACACAUUUUUUAUUGUACCAGUUGGAUCCCACUAAAAUGAGUUUGAUCCAAAUUAAGUCCAUUUGAGAGUAUAAAUAUUCAAUAAAAAUCUAAAACAUACAGUUGUGGAAGUUGGG